AACAGGCGCAAUGAUAGACCUCGUAACUUCGAUAGAUCAAGAAACUUUGAGAGAAGAAGGGACAUGCAGAUGGCUAAUCAGAACUCUGGAGCCAAUAUGGGCGGUCCAGCUGGUCGCAUGGGAAGCCCACCAAACAUGGGUGCACCACCUAAUAUGGGAGGAAUGCAGCAGCCGCCCAACACGGUUGCACCACCUAAUAUGGGUGGAAUGCAGCAGCCGCCCAACAACCCAGGAGGUAUGCAGCAGCUGCCGAACCACCCGGGAGGUAUGCAGCAGCAGCAUCCCAACAUGGGAGGACCCCCAAAUAAUAUGGGUAGUUACCCCCCGAAUAACAUGGGAGG
rnacentral:lncRNA from 1 species